rnacentral:lncRNA from 1 species
CAGGAGACAAACCUCGGAAGGGCUGCCCCUCAGAGACAUCAAGUGGAAUAUGAAUACUGAUUUCUAACCCCACUUCCAACUCCUGAGUGCUUUACGCUGGGCUACAAGGUUCUCAAUGUCUCAGUGCCUCAGCGUUCUGAUUUAUCUUAUGGAAGCCUGCCUCAUCUAUUCAUAUAUUGCAUUCUUAAACACAGAAUAACAACAACAGCAAUGACAACAAUGCUAAUAGCGCUCCAACAGAGCUUGCUGUGUGCCCAGCCCUGUUCGAAGUGCUCCCCAACUUUGGCCCCUAGGAUGCUCAGGACGGCCCUCUGAGCAGGCACUGAUGUCGUCCCCCUCACAUGCAGAGAAACCAAGACAUGAGCGUGGUCAGGUCGUUCGUGCAGAGCCACCGGGCUGGGGAUGGGCAGAGCUGGAGUGUGUGGGCACAGGAUCGGGGUUUGUCACCACUGUGCUGCACUGCCUCUGCACCCCAACUAGGCCUCACGCUGAUGGAGACAUCGCAGUGCAUGGGAGAACAUUCACUGCGUGGUGCUGAGGACGCAGCAGGCACUCGGUACAACCUGUUCCUUGCGUGGCCCGCUAGCUUUGGGUCCCAAAAUAAUCUGCCUCCUGAAUCUGCAACUUUCUCCCCACCUGCUGGGCAUUCUCUUAAUUCAACCGAAGCCUCUCCCUGUCCCCAUUAGGACGGCCACUCCCAACAGGAGUUCCCGGCCUGUGAAGGCCAACCGGUCGGGGCUCAGCACCCCAUUAUCAUUCUGCCACUUUCCAAAGGAAAUUAUAAGCACUUUGUGUCAACCCUCAUCUGUCCCGGCAGCCGCACCGCAGGAAAGCGAUUGAGGUCAGAGAAGGCAGACAGCCUACCCAUCACACCCGCCGCGGCCAUUCCUCAUGUAGUGACAUGCAAUCUCCCGCCAAGGGUCACCUCUGGGGAAGCGAUUCCUUCAAGCCUAGAACAAGUGCCGAAUUGCAGCUUUGCCGAAUGAUCAUGUGGAACACAUUGAAAAUAGCCGCCUCAGUAAUAAAUGCUUAACCAAAGCAGCCCCUUCCUCCGGCAUAACCAGGAGCAUAUUUACUGUAAAUAUGUUAACCAAUUCAUGCUGCAGCACAUGGCCGAGGAGUCAGCUUCCCAGGCAGCAAAGAGCAAACCCCCGCUGGGCUGAGAAGGAGCAAGCCGCAAAGGAGAGGAUUGUGUCCGCCAGGAAAAGGAAGAGGCAGGAAAAGGCACCUGGGACAGAGGAGCCUCCUGCAGGCCCCACAGCCCCACCCGACAGAGGAGUGGCGAGAAGGGGACUUGGCAUUCUGCAUCUUGCCGUCACCUCUGUGCCCCACGGAAUCUGUGAGUUAAGACUGGCUCCAAGAGAAGUGGCGUUUGUGUUUCUCCUUCAUUUCCUGCUCACAUGGUGAAGUCCGUAGUGUGACAGCUCUGAACUCCACAGGAUGAAUCAGGGUCAGGGGAGAGGACAGGAGGAAAGAAGGAGCGAGAGAAAGGGGAGAGAGAGAGAGGAGACGGGAGAGUGAUGGCGAGAGACAGAAAUAUGAAUGAGAAACGGGAAAAAAAUCGAGAAGAUGAUGAGAAGCCUGAAAGACAGAGAAAGCAAUCUAAGAUGAGAAAAAGAGCACUGAGAAAGAAAACAUUCUGGAGGAGAGAGAAGGAGGGGCAGAGAGGGGAACAAGGAGGGGGUGGAGAGAGGGAGAUUGAGAGGGCAUGAGUUGUCUCUGGAAGGCUGGGUUUUGUUUCCACUGGGAAGAAAAAAUGUUCUUUGUUAUCAAAAGCCUUGAGUGACACCAGCAGCUCCUCCCCACCCCUCUCUAACACACUAGCACCUAGGCUGGUGUACACAUACACAUGCAUACUCAAGUGUGCACACACACACACUAACAUGCACAUAUUUGUACACACACAAACAUAUGCAUGCACACACAUAUGCACAUUCAUGUGCACGCAUGCAUACUCGUGCACAUACACACUAACAUGCACACAUACUCAAGGUACACAUAUAUUCACAUGCACCACACAUACACACAUGCAUGUGCAUGCACAUACAAGCACACACACGCAUAUGCGCACACCUACUCAAGGCACACACAUACACGCACACAUUCACACAUUCAUACAUGCACACUCAUGUGUACACACACAUGCAUAGGCACACACACAUACAUUCACACACACGUAUGUGCACACACAUACUCACAUGCACACAUUCACAUGCACACACUCGUGCACAUACACUCACGUGCCCUCAUACAUGCACAUAUAUGCACACAUGCAUGCACACAUACAUCACAUCCAGGCACACAGCCAUCUAGAGGCACACAUACACUCUUACAGCACACAGUCAAUUCCCUCCCCCUACCCCUGAACCUAAUUCAGUCCCAGAACAGAGAGAGCAAUACAAGGUCUGAGCCAAAGGAAACAGACCAAAGCCAGACUGGGUCUGGGUGUGGGGGAGGAGGAGGAAAGGGGUCGGGAGGAGGCAGCCCAGGUCAGGGGCCCAGAGUGGACCAGCAAUGCAAUUGGAAUGGGAAAGAACCGUAGAGCCCCCUGAGAGGCUGCAGCCCCUCAGGCCUGGCCCUCAGGCCUGGGCCUCCCUUCAUCCCAGUUUCAGGCUGCAUUCUUAAUCGGGCCACGGCCCCGGCUACCUAGAGAGACAGUCACACACUGGCUUCAAGACCAGAGAAACCCCAGCAAAGGGCAGCCAGCUUCUGGGCAAAGAGUGAAGCCACCGGCUCCCUCCGGCUUGCAGCUUCUCCUUUCUGAAGUGGGUGGGCAGUUUCCGGCCAACCUUUUGCCUCCUUCUCUCCAGCCGCCCCUGCUAACUCCCAGUAAUUUGCCAAAAUUAACAGAUUUAUGGCAGCAUGUUGGUUUGGAUCAACUUUUCGUAUGUACUUUGCAAGAGAAAAACAUUUUCUUCUCCCCCGACUUACUGUUUGCCCAUUAAUACGCUCCACAUUCACUGGUGCUUAAUGACUGUUCAAAUUUUCUCUGUUCAUAGAGAAUGUUGUUGUUGUGAUUAAGGGUGCCAGGGUGCUUGCAAGUACAAACACACCAAAGCCAUGAAAAGGGCAAUUAAUUCUUUAAAAAAAUGCAAGAGAGUGGGAGAGAUUGGAUGCUCUGUUUACAGAAAAGCAAGAAAGAAAACAGAUAUUUCUAAGAAGUGUCCUUCCAGGACAGCAACGUCUCCUGUAAAAAUGUCUCCUGGAAAAAAUGUUGAAAUACAAAUGUUCAUGGAAACUGCUGUCCAGCAGACAUUUGGUUAUUCAACAACCAUGUGUCAACUACUCAUUAUGGGCCUGGUUCUGGGGUAAUUCAUAAAGGAAGCCACAGGGUGUGGGCGAAGUGGACAUCUGGGCCAGGACUGAAAUCCCAGCUCAAGAUAAGUCAUCCCUUGCCUCUGAGCCUCAGUUUACCCAUCUGAAAAUUAGGAGGUGGAAAUCCCAAGGGUGGCUAUCAAAAUUCAAGAGGACAUGUGUAUCAAGGGCUUAGCUUGCUGCUAGCACAUAGUAAGUGUACAAGAACUGCCUGGUUCAUUAUUCGUUCACUCUCCUGAACAAAUCAGUGGCCGUUUUAAUGGCUUUGGUGUGUUUGGACUUGCAAGCACCCUGGCACCCUUAAUCACAGCAACAGCACUCUCUAGCACCAGAGUACGUUCUCUGGGCCAUGGGCCAUGCCAUGGGGCUGGAUUUUGAAGUUACAACUUCAAGAAAGGCAAGUUUCUGCCCAUGUAUGGCUGAUGAUCCAACGGUGGGAGACAGAAACUACUAAACAUCUGCAAUGGCAACGUGUCCAACAGUGAUAAAUGCCUGAAGGGAAAUAAAACAAAGUAAGAUACAAAGCAGGGCCAAAGUAGAUAAGGCCCUGCUGAGCUGUGUUGGAUGAUGUCAUCAGGGGCCUGGGGAGGCCAGCAAGGUGACUUGUGCAGACACCCGAGUCGGGUGUCGAUAUCUUCCUCCAUACCUUUUAUCUUUCCUAAAAAUAUGGUUGGGAAGCCCUGGUCCAUCUGCAAAGGACAGGGGCAAGUUGGCCUAUGCGCUAGCAAUUGCUACAUAUUGUGAGAGCUCUUAAACCAAAGGUCAGGACACACCCAGUGAAUGUUUCCCUUCCAGAUAAGAAAAAUAUUCUGAGCACCUGCUAUGCGCCAAGCGUUGUGCUAUGUAGUGGGGGCACAACUGCAGGGAAACCAGACAUGGUCCCUCCCUGCCUCCUGGCAUUUAGAGCCAAGACAGAGGGUCAGAUUAUAAAUGAACACAGGCACCAUGAUUAUUUCAUCUCAAACUCUGGUUGGUGCUAUGGGAAAGGAGCAGUGAUCUUUGAGACCUGAGAGGGGGUCCUGAUGGAGCAGACACCAGCAGAAGGAUCCUUCCGGGAAGUGACGUUGAAGCUAAGCUUGAAAAGAAAGAAGCCAGUGGACAUCUUCUGGUGAGACCCAGAGCACCCCACCUGCAAGGGGCCUGAUCUCCCUUGAACCAAGAGCCCUGCCACUCGCCCCAGCUGCCUAAAGGCUGACAGGAGAAGAGGGAGUCAGAAUGGUGCUCCAAACAGAGCUCACUGGAAUCUCAGCUCAGCCAUUUACUUGCUCUGUCAACUUGGGCUCUCGCUGCAGGUACCUGAGACUGUUUUCUCGCCUGUAAAAUUGGAAGGUGUUAUGGGUUGAAUUGCUUCCCCCAAAAAUAUGUUGAGGUCUUAACCCCUUGAAAUGUGACCUGAGUUGGAAAUGGGAUCUUUGCAGAUGUCAUUAGUGAAGACGAAGUCACACUGGAGUAGGCUGGGCCCUAAAUCAAAUGGCUGUUAGUUUUAUAAGAAGAGGGAAAUUUGGACACAGACACACACAAAGAGGAACAACCAGCGUGUGAAGACAGAGGCAGAGAUUGGAAUGAGGCAGCCACAAGCCAAUGAACCGCUGCAGCUCCCAGAGGCCAGAAGAGGCAAGGGAAUAUCCUCCCCUAGAGGCUGCAGAGGGAGCACAGCCCUGCCAGUGCCUUGAUUCGAGACUUCGAGACUUCCAGCCUCCAGAACUGGGAAAGAAUAAAUAUCUGCUGUUUUAAGCACUUUGGUUUGUGGUGCUUUGUCACUGGCAGCCCUGGGAGUAGUCCAGAAUUAUAACCCCUACCUUCCCCGAGGACUGCUUGUCCAGAGGGUUCCCCAGGGUCCCAUUCUUAACAGAUCCUCCUUGAAUGCCCUGCAGCCACCGCUGAUGUGCUGGAAGUCACUUCUGCUGGCUUUGAUGAAGGGAAGGAAGCAGAUGAGAAAGAGGGUGUAUAUGAGUGACUCAUUGAACCUAUUGUCUAUCCAUAGAGAGAGGGGACGAGAGAGUGCCUUGUCCCCAAGACCUGGGCCCACAGUGGCCCCUUAAGUAAGUUCAGGCCCUCUCACCUGGGCAGGGGUCAGAAGCCUAGAGCAACAGCAACCACUGAAAGCCCUCAGCACUCCAC